rnacentral:rRNA from 1 species
CCUACGGGAGGCAGCAGUGGGGAAUAUUGCACAAUGGGGGAAACCCUGAUGCAGCGACGCCGCGUGAGUGAAGAAGUAAUUCGUUAUGUAAAGCUCUAUCAGCAGCGAAGAAAAUGACGGUACCUGAGUAAGAAGCCCCGGCUAACUACGUGCCAGCAGCCGCGGUAAUACGUAGGGGGCAAGCGUUAUCCGGAUUUACUGGGUGGAAAGGGAGCGUAGACGGCAGUGCAAGUCUGGAGUGAAAGGCGGGGGCUCAACCCCCGGACUGCUCUGGAAACUGUACGGCUGGAGUGCAGGAGAGGUAAGUGGAAUUCCUAGGGUAGCGGUGAAAUGCGUAGAUAUUAGGAGGAACACCAGUGGCGAAGGCGGCUUACUGGACUGUAACUGACGUUGAGGCUCGAAAGCGUGGGGAGCAAACAGGAUUAGAUACCCGAGUAGUC